GUAUCCAUCCAUUGGAUGUAUAUUAUAUAACACAUAAUCGUUGUGUCUAUGAGAUGUUUUAUUUUAUUAUAUUAUUAUCAUUUAUUUUAAAUAUUUGAUAAAACGAUAUCAUGUCCGAGAUGUGAUUGACAAUCUAAAAACCAAUAAGAGUCGUCCUUCGCAGAAUCUGGACACGCCCCUACAACAUCAUUGGUAUACGAUAUCAGUUCGCGGGGUUUAAUGACAACUGAUGGAAAAAUCCAAUGUGGAUGAGUGAUUGGGUUUACUGUGACGACUUCAAAUAUCAAAAGAGAAGAAAGGUACUCACCAGGGUUGCCUUUUCUUCCACGUUUUCCUGGAGGACCUGAGAAAAGAGGCAACUGGCUGUGAAGAUAUCACUGAUCCCUUCCCCAAUGUGAAAGGAACACAUCCUUUUCCACAAGCUGGGCUGAUAGUUCUGGUGGAAACUUCCCUGGGAGUCUCCACCCCCAGAUAAGAGAGAAGCUGCAGCCCUCCUAAUGCUCUUUACUAGGAAGAAACAGCACUGAAGAUGCUCUUGCGUCUCAUCUACAUGGGCAGGGCUCUUCUGAGACCUUCUGGAUUCAUUUUCUCCACUGAGAUGUUAUGCAUCAAAUUGAUCAAGUUAGUGGCAAGAGAAGUUUUCUUGAUUUGCCAAAC